rnacentral:piRNA from 1 species
UGAAGCGUGGCGUCAUCAAGAUGGGCUU